rnacentral:rRNA from 1 species
CCUACGGGAGGCAGCAGUGGGGAAUAUUGCACAAUGGGGGAAACCCUGAUGCAGCGACGCCGCGUGAGUGAAGAAGUAUUUCGGUAUGUAAAGCUCUGUCAGCAGGGAAGAAAAUGACGGUACCUGACCAAGAAGCCCCCGCUAACUACGUGCCAGCAGCCGCGGUCAUAAGUAGGGGGCAAGCGGUAUCCGGAUUUACUGGGGGUAAAGGGAGCGUAGACGGCAGGGCAAGUCUGGAGUGAAAGGCGGGGGCUUAACCCCCGGACUGCUCUGGAAACUGCCAGGCUGGAGUGCAGGAGAGGUAAGUGGAAUUCCUAGUGUAGCGGUGAAAUGCGUAGAUAUUAGGAGGAACACCAGUGGCGAAGGCGGCUUACUGGACUGUAACUGACGUUGAGGCUCGAAAGCGUGGGGAGCAAACAGGAUUAGAUACCCUUGUAGUC